GGGCCCGCACAAGCGGUGGAGCAUGUGGUUUAAUUCGAUGCAACGCGAAGAACCUUACCUACUCUUGACAUCCAGAGAACUUAGUAGAGAUACUUUGGUGCCUUUGGGAGCUCUGAGACAGGUGCUGCAUGGCUGUCGUCAGCUCGUGUUGUGAAAUGUUGGGUUAAGUCCCGCAACGAGCGCAACCCUUAUCCUUGUUUGCCAGCGAGUAAUGUCGGGAACCCCAGGGAGACUGCCGGUGAUAAACCGGAGGAAGGUGGGGACGACGUCAAGUCAUCAUGGCCCUUACGAGUAGGGCUACACACGUGCUACAAUGGCGUAUACAGAGGGCAGCCAACUUGCGAAAGUGAGCGAAUCCCAGAAAGUACGUCGUAGUCCGGAUUGGAGUCUGCAACUCGACUCCAUGAAGUCGGAAUCGCUAGUAAUCG
rnacentral:rRNA from 1 species